CCUACGGGUGGCAGCAGUGAGGAAUAUUGGUCAAUGGACGAGAGUCUGAGCCAGCCAAGUCGCGUGAAGGAUGACUGCCCUAUGGGUUGUAAACUUCUUUUAUAAAGGAAUAAAACGAGGCACGUGUGCCUUUUUGCAUGUACUUUAUGAAUAAGGAUCGGCUAACUCCGUGCCAGCAGCCGCGGUAAUACGGAGGAUCCGAGCGUUAUCCGGAUUUAUUGGGUUUAAAGGGUGCGUAGAUGGGUUGUUAAGUCAGUUGUGAAAGUUUGCGGCUCAACCGUAAAAUUGCAAUUGAUACUGGCAGUCUUGAGUACAGGUGAGGUAAGCGGAAUUCGUGGUGUAGCGGUGAAAUGCUUAGAUAUCACGAAGAACUCCGAUUGCGAAGGCAGCUCACUGGACCGCAACUGACACUGAGGCUCGAAAGUGUGGGUAUCAAACAGGAUUAGAUACCCGGGUAGUC
rnacentral:rRNA from 1 species